AUGGCCUCCGCGCACUCCGCCGCCGCCUCGGCUUCCUCUCCUGCUGGCGCGCCUGUCGCUCCCUCGUCGCCCUUUCUCGCAUCCCCCCCGCUCGCCACGGCUUGGCGGCAGCCGUCGCUGCCCGCCGAAAGCCAUCUGCAGGGCGGGCAGGGCGGGCAGGAGCAGGGCGGGCCGAGCCUGCCCCAGCCGCCGAUCGCCACUGGUGGCGCCUCGCCCUCGACCUUCGCCUUCGCGCCGCCACCCUCUCGCGGCGCUGCACCGUCCGCCUACGGGGCGGCUCCCCAACCCUACGGAGCCCCUCCGCCCUACUAUGGCGCUACCCCGACCUACGCUCCAUGGUACGGCGCCCCUGCACCAACCUACGGCGCCGCGCCACCGAUGCCUUCUACCUGGCCGAUGCCUCCGCCGUCACAGAUAGCGCCGUCACUCUAUGGCGCUGCCUACGGCGCCGCGCCCGCCGUGUCUUCGGUGGCCACGCCUGGUCCGGUGGAUGCCCCUUCCGGUCCUGGCUACGAGGCGUCCUUGGCCCUCGAUCCCCAUGAUGGGCAGAACAUGGGUCCCCAUGCGGGUUAUGCUCCGGCGCCAUCGCCGUUCUACUUCUCGCAUCUUCUUCCGGUGAAGCUUACACCGGACAACUACCUAUCUUGGCGGGCGCAGGUGCUACCUCUCCUACGGAGUCGCUACUUGGAGGGCUAUGUUGAUGGCUCUAUCCCGUGUCCGCCGCCGUAUCACCCGGCUCAUCAUGUGUGGGUGGCCCAAGACCAGGCGAUACUUUCGGCCAUCCAGUCCUCGCUGACUCCGAGCGUGUCGUCGCUUGUCAUCUUCGCCGCGACAUCCCGGGAGGCUUGGUCUGCACUUCACAGCAGUUUUGCCUCUCAGUCUCAGGCGCGUGCUCACUCUAUCCGCACUGAGUUGGGGGAGACCAAGCUUGGAGGCCUCACCAUCACGGAGUACUUCAACAAGAUGUCAGGACUUGCAGACACGCUGGCCUCCAUUGGCCAGCCCCUUGGAGAUGAGGACUUCACCACUCAUGUGCUCAAUGGCCUCGAUGAUGACUAUGACAAUCUCAUUGAGAACGUCCAUGGGCGCGAGGCGCCUCUCCCGCCACGGGAACUGUAUGCGCGGCUCCUUGGUUGCGAACAGCGCAUCAAAGCGCGUCGAUCUACUCCGAGUUUUGCCUCUGCUAACGCCGCAACCCGUGGCAAAUCGCAGAAGCCGUCGCUCCCUGCCAAGCCGGCGGGCACAUCUCAGCCCUCACGGGGCGCCGCGCCGUCCAUCACAGGGGGAUCGCGGCCGGUGGCUUGCUGCCCCAGUUGUGGUGCUCAGCAGGCGUGCCAGCUGUGUGGGAUUGAGCGCCACGUAGCUUCUCGCUGUCAUCGCCACUACAAGCAAGAUUUCCUUGGCCUCGGCAACAAUGGCAAGGGGAAUGAAAAACAGGCGGCCGCUGCGGUGGUGGGUCAUGAGCACGGGCGUACUCCAUCCUACUCGAUUGAUACCUCGUGGUACAUGGACACGGGAGCUACCAACCACCUCACCAACGACAUGAGCAAGCUCUCGGUCCAGGAGCCAUAUCGCGGUCAUGAUCAGGUGCACACCGCUAACGGAGCAGGUAUGCGCAUCUCCCAUGUUGGUCAGGCAUCCCUUCUUGCACACAAUUCACGAAAACUGCAUUUGUCUAACAUCCUUCGUAUUCCCACUGCUUCGCGUAGUUUGUUGUCUGUUCCACAACUUACUCGUGACAAUAAUGUCCUUGCUGAAUUUCACCCUUUUCAUUUCUUUAUCAAGGAUCGGGACACGAGGGCCGUUCUGCUUAGCGGUAGUCUUCGCCGUGGCUUGUAUGCACUUGACGCGCCAACCGCACCUCCCAUGCAGUUUUCUCCUCAGGCGUUCAGUGGUGUUCGUGUCUCGACUACACAUUGGCACGCGCGACUUGGUCAUCCUGCCGCUCCCAUAGUCCGUCAUGUGUUGCAUCGUCAUGAGCUACCAGUUGUGUCAAAUAAAACUGCUGAAACUAUUUGUGAUGCCUGUCAGCAGGGCAAGAGUCACCAACUCCCGUUUUCAGAGUCUAGUCGUGUUGUGAAACAUCCUCUUGAGCUUAUUUUUUCCGAUGUAUGGGGUCAUGCCCAAACAUCUGUUAGUGGCCAUAAUUAUUAUGUCAGUUUCAUUGAUGCUUACACUCGGUUUACCUGGCUCUAUCUUAUUAAGAAAAAAUCUAAUGUGUUUGAUGUGUUUAUCCAGUUUCAAGCACAUGUUGAGCGUCUCCUUCGCCAGAAAAUUAUUCAUGUCCAAAGCGACUGGGGGGGUGAAUACCACAACCUCAACUCAUUCUUUAACAAGCUUGGGAUUACACACCGUGUGUCUUGCCCCCAUACGCAUCAGCAGAAUGGGACUGCCGAACGUAAGCAUCGUCACCUUGUAGAAACUGGCAUCACUUUGUUAGCUCAUGCCUCCGUACCUUUUAGGUUCUGGAGUGAUGCUUUCUCCACUGCCUGUUUUUUGAUCAAUAGGCUUCCUUCACGACUACUGAAUAUGAAAACCCCACUUGAACUCUUGCUCAAUGAAAUCCCAGACUACACCUUUCUCAAAGUCUUCGGGUGUGCCUGUUGGCCUUAUUUGCUUCCAUAUAAUAAACAUAAGCUAGAGUUUCGGUCGAAAAAGUGCGUUUUUCUUGGGUAUAGUUCCCUUCACAAAGGGUACAAAUGCCUACAUGUUCCCACCAAUCGCGUUUACAUUUCUCGUGACGUUGUUUUUGAUGAGAAUGUGUUUCCCCUUCGUGCACUUCCGAAUACCUCUAUCACUCUUAUGCCAGACGCUUCUUCUACCACACCUCUGCCUGAUCAAUUUGUGGAUGUUGCAUAUGCUCCUGUGUUGCUCCCUAACCAUGCUGCAGGUGUUGGCCGUGGCGCUCGUCUCGAGCUCCUUGAAGAACAAGCACCGGCGCGUCCGGAGGACGAUCGCGUGCAUGGGGCAUGCAUAUCGGGCGGCACACCGCAACCCGCAAGAGCUGCGCCGCGGCUGCCUCGCGGGCAUCGCCCGACCCCGCUCCGCGAGCGGCGUCCUCGCCCGCCUCGUGGGAGUUCCCCGAGGUGGCCUCACAGGAGGUUGCUCCUGGGCCAGCCACGCCAGGCUCGCCUGGGCCGGCUUCGGCUCCCGAUGGGCUGGCCACCCCAGGCUCGCCUGCUUCUUCGGCGCUCAGCGGCUCCGGCGUGGGCCUGGGCGACGUGGCCAUGUCGGGCGCCACACCGCCCGCCUCCCCAACGCCCAGUGGCUCCGACGCGAGCCCUGGCGACUCGGGGUCACCUUCUUCGUCGCCUGCAUCAUGCCCUGCGUCGUCACCACAACCUGUUGCUCCUCGACAUCGCACGCGCAGUCAGACCGGUGUCUUUCAGCCUAAGAUCCGGACCGAUGGGACUGUUGUGUGGCUCGCCGCGUGCAUGGCUCAUGCUGCUGCGGAUCCCACUACUGAGCCUCACCACUUUCAGGCUGCACUAG
rnacentral:rRNA from 1 species